AUGAAGGAAGGAUGAAGGAAGGAUGAAGGCUCCUGUCCCACUGCUUCCCUGGGUCUGGGGAGGACUCAGCGCAUCUUAAAUAUUGAGUUAUCCAGCAGCAGCACCAGGGCUGGGUAAAUUGGAUUGCUUCAGAUGUUGCUGAUAAUCGAGCUGGAGGCUGGGCUGGAGGAGGGUCCCAGAACUCCCACCACGCCUUUGGGGAGAAUCUGGCACACUGUGGGCAGCAGAGAGAGGGAACAGAGGUCAGGAUUCAUCCCAAAAUUCCAGCAGACAGUCGUGCUCACAGUGCCUGCUGCACCUCAGAGAGAAACAUGAACUAAACUUUAUGAAGAUGCUACACACAGCAGUGACCCAGCUUCAAAGCAUCAAACAGACUUGUAAGAAUUUCUCCCCUCAUCUCUGCAGAGUUCAGUGGUAAAAACAAGGAUUUCAUUGCUGGUU